GGGAUUACAGACAGGCAAGAGCCACUGUGCCAGGCAUUCUUUACUAACUUUUAACUCUAGGAAUUUAUUUAAUUUCCCUGGGUGUCUGUCUUCUGGAUUUUUGUCUGUCAAAUGGAGACAAUACCCAUCUUAUAAGCAUUGCAUGUGGUAAUAGUGGUAAAGUACAUAGCACUUUACCUGGCAUGGAAUGUAAGUUCUAUAAAUGAUGUUUAAACUCUCUGCCACCCUACCCUCCAACAAAAUAAACAAAAAUGAUACACAUUUUGGUUAUGAAAGGAUGAGGCUGAAUUCAUAUGUCAUCCCUGAAAGCCUGCCUCAAGAUUUUAGAGUCUAUUCCUCCUGAGGCAAAGGCAGCAGAUGGAGGUGCUUACAGCCGGCAGUAUAUAGCUAUUUAAAUUCUGGCUCCAAGCAUCCGCUUUCCUUUUUCUGGAAAACUAUACUGAUGACCCCCAGGGGUCAUAAAGGAGCCCUUAGGAAUGCCGGAGUUGAGUUAACUGACUGGAAUGGGAUAAUGAACUUGUUUGCAGAAACCAGCCAGGCCUGACUUCCUUCUGCUUAUUCCAUUUGAGUCUAGCCCCAGUUAAUGGAUCCAAAUAGUUUUGGAUUUCAUUAAACAGAAUUAUCACUAACUGACAUUAUGCAGCUUUUAACCUUUUAUAAAAACUUCACAAAUAGGUCGCUUAUUCCUUAAUACAAUGUGGGAUGGGUUAAGAGUGCCCUUAACUCUUCCGGUCACCCUGAUGCUUCCUCCCUCCCUUCCAUUCACCCCCGUUUUCAGCAGAUGCUGUAGUGCCUGAAGGUAUGCUCAGAGCCCACUCAGAUGCCUGGAUCCACCCCACACCCCCAAGGAGCCCCCUUCUAAUGGAAGAGAAUCUCACACAAGGAAAUAGUUUUGAUGUGGACCCCUUGAGAGGCAGAGUAAUGCAGUGCAGGAGGUUCAGAGAUUUGGGGACAGCAAACCUCACUUCAAAUCCUGGCUCUCAUAUUUUCUAGCUAUGUAAACUCUGGCAAGUUUUGACUCUCUUGGAACCUUGGUUUUCUCGUUUCUAAUUUAAGGUUAAUAAUAAUAUCUGCUUUUUAGGGUCCUUAGGAGAAUUAAAUAAGAACAUGUUUGGAUGAACAGUGUCUGGUGUAUAAGUGCUCAAUAAAUAUUUGCUUUUUAAAAACUUUAUAAUAGAAGUUCAAACAAACCUUUUGGGAGCCCAGCAAGAUAAGCAACAAAUACCUUCAGGGGAGGUGAGGAAAGUCACUACAUCUGCCUGGAAGCAAAAUUCUUUGAACUGGUCUUUUUCCAUCCACGAGCACAUGACCAAGGAAAGGAAGCUAUAUUUUUCUUGACUGGGAAUUUGAAUUUGCAGUUGUACAUUCCAAGGGCCUUGGAAGUUCUUUCCAGUUUGGGAAAAGGAGCAGCCAAGGGCACGCAUGGAAACACUUACUAAUUGUGUGACCUUAGGCAAGUGCCCCUAACCUCACCAAAGAUAAAAUUCUCCUAUCAGUAAAAUGGGGAUCAUAAAAUGGAGAUAAUAAUUCUGGCUACCUGCUAUGAUUGCUGUGGGAUUAGGGAAGAUGAUACACGUGAUACAUUAGCAGAGUGCCUGGUGCCUAGUAGGUGCCCCUUAAAAUUUAGCUAUGACUAUUCUCUUUAGCCGACACACAGGACUGCCUUGAAUGUUCACAUUUCCAGAGAAAGGUGCUUGGGAAGAUUUCUGAGUGUUCUGCCUGCCAGGUCGUUGCUCACUUCAAGCAGUCAGUUUACAGUUCAAAGAAUCCCUUUGUUCAAAGCCUGAGCAAAUCCAGGCCUCGUGUAUCUGCAGCAAUGAAAAAAGGGAGCUUUCUGCCUGAUCUUCACCCCAAAGGCAGAUUCUCCCUUUUUAAAUGCCUGCACACAUGUUAUUUAUUUAUUUUUGGUUAACGUUUAAAUUGAGGUUUUGGCUGAAACUUAGCCUGUGCGCACUUGAAAAGUCAACAGGCUCAUUGGGCAGCCGAUAAAGCUCUUGGGAUUUCCCCGCGGGGCUGCGGAGAGUACAGACAGGAAGCCUGGGGACCCAGCGCCUGACCAGAGCUUCCUCGGGGGAGGAUGCAGGGGAGCAGGCGCAUCCUGCACAGAACACUCUAGAGCGCGCAGGCCAAAUCAGCAGCCUGCUCCCGACACGUGCUGCAAGAGGGUGCCCUACCCGGAGGACCGGACCCUGUGGGCAUGAAGGGGGAGGUGGAAGCUUCCCCCUCAGCCCUCCCCCCUGGAGAGAGGCUGACACUGCCAGGCUGGAACCUUCCAUUCUGGCCCAGCCUCUUCCUCCCUCGCUGUGCCGAGGGAUCUAGAAGGGACUUUCCAGAGAGGGUUAGCGUGCAGGGUGUGGAAAUGGAAUAAAAGCAUAUGCAAAUAGGCCUUAGCUGCCUUCCUCUACCCUAGCGAAUAAGAGUCUUUCUCCAGAAAGAUGCUCUUUCUCCAAGACGCUUGACCGCUUUUCCUUCCCUGGAUGGCAGCAGCAGGGCCGAUUGGAGUGGUAAACCCUGGGGCGGAAGCCAUGCCAAAGGGGUGGGCAGGAUGGACAGGAGACAGUAGCACCAUGAGGAGGGGGAGAGCAGCAGCUGACUUGGAAAUGAUGAAAUAAAAUGAAAUGUUAAGAGCUCGCUGCGUUGUAACGAUAGAGGACACAUCCAGAUCAAAUAAGACAUUUUGAGCUUCCAAAGAGUUUAUUCCCUGGAGAUUGGAAGGAGAGGAUUGUUUUCACAGAGGUAAGCAUCUAAGGCUGUGGAGUGGGGAGGGAAUUGGAGAAGCUCUUUGGGAGGUGGUGACCUUUACGGAGGGAGACCCAGGGACUGGUACCUGAGUAACUACAAAGGGAAUGGACCUCAGACAUAGGCAGGGCUCAUUCACAUAGAGACAGAAUGUCAAGACCAUAGAAACAGGGAUAUGGAACUUAGAAUAUUCUCUCCAACCCCAGAUAGAAAACAGUUACCAAGUUUGAAAUGUAUAGGUUGGAAGACCUGAGAGAAAUGUAUUGCCUUUUUCUGCUUAGUGAAUCUAGCUAUCAGUUUCUGCGACUUUAAGCAUGUUUUGCGCUAGGCAUCUGACUCCCAGCCGACUGGGCCCCAGAGCCUAGAGGUGCCUAGCACAAGGUGCAUGGGCAAUUAUUUGUUUGGCUAUUUGUGUUUAGUAGCAUUUCUUUUCACCUUGCAGGAACUCACCUCUGGGUUAAAAGGGGAAUUUGUUUUAUGGAAAGGGUUAGAAAAGUUCAAUACUGGAAGAUCAUCUUAUAGCUUCUUCUUGGCAAAAAUUUGUUGACCCAAAAGUGUUUCCAGGGUUGCUGCAGCCUUCCUCCUAAGGCAGUGCAGAGAUCUAAAUGAGAUAAUUAUGCAGACUAUUUAAAAAUUUAAAAAAGUACCACAUUAGGUACUACAUAAUUUUUUUUAUAGCUAGCAUAUAAAGCAAUUUGGAUGUAUUUCCUUUAUACCUUUUGAGAAUGAACUGAAAGACCAGGAUUAAUUUAGCUUUGAAUGGAUAUCAGAUUUGUAAACUUAUAUUAGGUAGGUCUUUCUUAAAGUCUCUCCUAUUGAAAACCAAUUCCUUUAUUCUAACUCUGUACAGCAAGAGCAAAGUACCACACUAGUAUUUUUCGGGUGAGAGCUGGCAAAGUCAUAUUUACAACAACUUUUGUGUUCCUUCAUAAUUUUCCCUCAUAUGGCGGGAAAAA